UGCGUAGGCGGGCGAAUAAGUCAGCGGUGAAAUCACUCAGCUUAACUGAGUAACUGCCGUUGAUACUGUUAGUCUAGAAUAUAAAUGGUGCAGGCGGAAUGAAUCAUGUAGAGGUGACAUUCAUAGAUAUGAUUCAGAACACCGAUCGCGAAGGCAGCUUGCAAAGAUAUUAUUGACGCUGAGGCACGAAAGCGUGGGUAGCGAACA
rnacentral:rRNA from 1 species